CCUACGGGAGGCUGCAGUGGGGAAUAUUGGACAAUGGGGGCAACCCUGAUCCAGCCAUGCCGCGUGUGUGAAGAAGGCCCUCGGGUUGUAAAGCACUUUCAGUGAGGAAGAACGCCUGGUGGUUAAUACCCAUCAGGAAAGACAUCACUCACAGAAGAAGCACCGGCUAACUCCGUGCCAGCAGCCGCGGUAAUACGGAGGGUGCGAGCGUUAAUCGGAAUUACUGGGCGUAAAGCGCGCGUAGGUGGCUUGAUAAGCCGGUUGUGAAAGCCCCGGGCUCAACCUGGGAACGGCAUCCGGAACUGUCAAGCUAGAGUGCAGGAGAGGAAGGUAGAAUUCCCGGUGUAGCGGUGGAAUGCGUAGAGAUCGGGAGGAAUACCAGUGGCGAAGGCGGCCUUCUGGACUGACACUGACACUGAGGUGCGAAAGCGUGGGUAGCAAACAGGAUUAGAUACCCUAGUAGUC
rnacentral:rRNA from 1 species